rnacentral:rRNA from 1 species
AUUGAACGCUGGCGGCAGGCCUAACACAUGCAAGUCGAGCGGAUGAAGGGAGCUUGCUCCUGGAUUCAGCGGCGGACGGGUGAGUAAUGCCUAGGAAUCUGCCUGGUAGUGGGGGAUAACGUCCGGAAACGGGCGCUAAUACCGCAUACGUCCUGAGGGAGAAAGUGGGGGAUCUUCGGACCUCACGCUAUCAGAUGAGCCUAGGUCGGAUUAUCUAGUUGGUGGGGUAAAGGCCUACCAAGGCGACGAUCCGUAACUGGUCUGAGAGGAUGAUCAGUCACACUGGAACUGAGACACGGUCCAGACUACUACGGGAGGCAGCAGUGGGGAAUAUUGGACAAUGGGCGAAAGCCUGAUCCAGCCAUGCCGCGUGUGUGAAGAAGGUCUUCGGAUUGUAAAGCACUUUAAGUUGGGAGGAAGGGCAGUAAGUUAAUACCUUGCUGUUUUGACGUUACCAACAGAAUAAGCACCGGCUAACUUCGUG